AUUCCCUCGCUCCCCUGUCCAUCACUCCCAUCUCCCCCUUUCCUCUUGUGCGACUGGGAGGCCGACAGCGGCGGCGGGGACAGAGCAUACAACGAUUCUGCACCGGCGACCAAUCCCAAAUCACCCAGCCAGAUUUACUAUGUCCUCGACAGCCGGGGAUGAAGGUCAUGCUCGCGGCUCGCCGCCGUAUGUCCAGAAGCAAUGCCACAUCCGCCUACAAUUCCAUCCAGGCUCGCUAAUCUGCAUCCAUGUUUCUUUUCUGAUCUCUUCCCAAUCUGACCUAUUCACAUAAUUUUAUACGGCCAUAUUUUAGAUAGGCUCUUGAUGAGUGCACCAUGUAUCCAUGGUUGCAAAAUGAUUCCUGAGAUUUCCUUGGUAAAAUUUCUGGAAUAUUUUAGUUGUACAUAAAUUGGUUGUGCCAUCAUAACCAUUUGUUUAUUCGCUAGUAUAAAAAUACCAAAGUGAAUUCUCUAUACAUACAUACAAGAAGCACCUCUUUAAUUAGUAAUUUGCUGGUAGAAUCAUCGAUCUGUUAUUAUUUGACAUAAGAAAGCUAUUACAAAUGCUAUAGGCAAUUGCAUGGAAAUUGAUCUGAGAAAUUGUUGUCGAGAUAGGUAAUCAAAUACUUGACAACAGUUGAUCUUUAAGAUUUCCUGAGCUUUACUCUGGGUGCUCAAGUGAAGCAAUUACUUCUCACUGGAGGGUCUGUUUCUUUACUGGACUGGUCAUGUUGUUCCUAUUUUCUCUUUUAUUCAGAUAUACCUUGGAUUUCUAAAUAAGAAAGAGGUAUGCUGAACAAGAUUCAGGUCGUGCUAAGACAUCAACAAUCUAUGCCAACAAGCCUCCACUAUCUAUUGCAGAAAUGAAGAACCGUACGUGUUGAUUGCUUAUCCUGAAUAUGAUUUGGGACGAAUAAGGCCCGACUAGCUUCUAAAUCUGCUGAACUGUACUGAUCAUGGUGUCAUGGUGUGAAACUAAUUUUUCUUCUGCUCUUCUAAAGGCCAUCUCACCUUCGCAAUGAUUCAUAUUUUGCCAGAGGAGAUGACUCAGUUGGAAAUUAUGUUCUGCUUCUUGAUUCUUAUGCUAAUUCUCUGUCUGUUUGUAGGAUUGCUGGUGAUGUUCAGAAUAAUAAGGGAAGUGCCUUAAACCUGAAUAUCAAAUGAAAAGUUGAGCUGCACGUUGGGGUAUCCGUUCAAGUGGUUGAUGGCUAAUGUAUGAUGGAUAAAGAGUAGCGUCUUGGUAUUUAUGGUUGUGAGAAGAAAAGUGAACCUCAAUGCUACCGUACAAUUAAUAGGAUACUAUGUUGCUUCCAGCCCGUGGAUAAGAAUGUUUUAGUCGCUGGGGUCCUAGAGAGAUUGGUGAACAGAUGAAGCUGAUGGGAGAUCUCUGGUCACCUGCAAGUUAAGCUAAUUUAAGAUCAAGUUUGACAGUUACUUAGUUUCAAGUUCAGCAGUACCGCAGUAGUUAGUAUUCAAGUUCAGCAGCAAUUUUGUAAUAGUGAUUUCUGAAAUUUUCAUGCUGCUGGUUAGUUACUGCUAAAUGGCAUUCAAUUGUAUCAGGACGAAUUUUAUUUGUAAUCUCAAGGCUGGAAUUUUUUUUA